rnacentral:rRNA from 1 species
UACGUAGGUGGCAAGCGUUGUCCGGAAUUAUUGGGCGUAAAGCGCGCGCAGGCGGUCCUUUAAGUCUGAUGUGAAAGCCCACGGCUCAACCGUGGAGGGUCAUUGGAAACUGGGGGACUUGAGUACAGAAGAGAAGAGUGGAAUUCCACGUGUAGCGGUGAAAUGCGUAGAGACGUGGAGGAACACCAGUGGCGAAGGCGACUCUUUGGUCUGUAACUGACGCUGAGGCGCGAAAGCGUGGGGAGCGAACGGG